rnacentral:rRNA from 1 species
UACGUAGGGUGCGAGCGUUGUCCGGAAUUAUUGGGCGUAAAGAGCUCGUAGGCGGUCUGUCGCGUCGGUCGUGAAAACUUGGGGCUUAACCCUGAGCUUGCGGUCGAUACGGGCAUGACUGGAGUUCGGUAGGGGAGACUGGAAUUCCUGGUGUAGCGGUGAAAUGCGCAGAGUAUCAGGAGGAACACCGGUGGCGAAGGCGGGUCUCUGGGCCGAUACUGACGCUGAGGAGCGAAAGCGUGGGAGCGAACAG